UUAUUCACAUAUUCUUAAUAUGAAGAGAAGUUCCCUUCAUAUAAGAAGUUUCAGGUGUAUACACUUCUCCGUCUUUAGAUAUAGAUGGACCAAAAAUGGCUUCAUGGGUCCGUAAAGUUUCUGGGGCUUUCGAGAAACGGGCCCCUGGCCCUUAAUGACACUCCCUUUGAAUUGUUGAUGUUAUCCCUCUAAUCAAACAUGUAUGACAAAUCUCUUAAUGCAGGUCCAGUUUUAGCCCUACAUUAUAUAAAUACAUAUAUUAUUAUUAUAUGGCUAGCUCCCUGAGCAGGCCAGUGGCACUAUCUUGCCUUUCAGGGUUACAUGGCGCGAUGUCUGACAAGAAAAAAUUGUUCUUUAUCCCAUAUAAUAAUUCCUAUAUUGACCAAGCUUGUUCGGUCAAGAUGGCUAAAUAUUGGCCUUGUUCUUUGUUUGCAUGCUAUGGACCUUGACUAUGUUUUGGUCCAUAACCAUGCAAAAAAAAGAACUUGGUCAAUAUCCAGCCAUCUUGACCUCAUGCUUCGUUAGAAACCCAUAAUUUUAUGUAAUUGGACUGAGUGGAGCACAGUUUAGGGUGUAAUUGUUUGAGUACAGGUAAUUUCAAAUUGACCGAGUGUGCAGGACAAUGCUGCGAUUACUUAUAAUUCCAACAAUAACAAAUUUCAAGAUUAAAAGAGUCUUUAAUUCUAGUUACAGGAUCUUAUAUGAGUCCUAUUUUACCUCCCCAGCAUACAUUGUACAUAUCCUGCAUUCAGUAGACAUUAAGAUUAUUGGAACCUUUCAAGUAGUUGUCGUUAUCUGCAUACUAUUUAUAAACAAAGUUUGCCUUAUCCUGUUGUUCUACUGUUCAUCUUAGGACUGCAGCCUUUUGUGUCAUAUUUGCAGUUUUUCCAGUGCUUACCAGGAUUGAAUGCUUUUAAAGUCUUUCCUCUUUCUUACCAGAUUGAGAUCAGAGAAGCAACAAUAAAGUUUAUACAGUGAAACUUAUAUGGAAAGAAAUUCACUUUGAGGCAUUAGAUCCCAUAAUAGGGAAACAACAAUGAAAGUAUAUGCUGAGACUUGAGAGGGGAAAAAAUCACGUUGGAAAAAAUCACGUUGAAACAGUGGAUUCUGUGAUAGAAACCAGAAGGCUGUGUGCUGAGGCUUAUGUGGAAAAAGAUUCAUACUGAGGUAAUAGAUUCCACAUCAGAUGCCUAACAGAAGCAAGGAAAGGGCUAUGUGUCAAGACUUAAGAGGAGAAAGAAUCAAACAGAGACACUGGGUUCCAUAGUAGAUACAAAACAGAGAAGGAACUAUAAAAGCUGUGCUGUCUUAAGAGGAAAACGAAUCAAAGUGAGACAUUGGAUCCUUUGUUAGGCUGUAAUCUCAAGUGUACAUGCAGCGACAUUAACAUGGAGAAAGAAGCAAAGGAAAGCAAAGACCUUCGUUUAGAUGUUUCUAUAGUGGAUCACCUUUUAAAGUAAGGUAGAUUUACAAGACAGAGUUUAUCUCGAUUGAGUUUCUUGCGAAAGAUUGUUAGGGCGGAGCUCGUAUUAGCGAUUUCACAACAAGAAGACAUCGGAAUUACUUUCAAAUUGUCUAGCAUCUGCCAAAUUGUCUCGGAUCUUGCUAGUUUUCGAGGAAGGCAUGAAUUGUAUUUCGAGUUUGUAGCUUUAGAAUAAAGGUAGAGUAUUAGCAUUACCUGGUUUAGUUUUUCCGAAUCGUCAGCUUGGAAGUCUCGUUAUUAAACUCGUUGAAAUUACUGUCUAAUUAUCUAGUAUCUAUUCCACAAAUUUACGGAAAUCUUUCUAGUUUUCGAGGACGCAUUGAAUUGAUAUAAAUGUUGCGCUUUUAAAACGGCCAAGAAAGAAAUCGUAAAGAGGAAAAAUUGUCCUUAGAAAAAAAAGUCUGCAAUUUUAAAUGGUGUCUGGUUUUGAGUCAAACAUAUACUGAGUCUUUUGGCGGAAAAAAUCAAGCACUAUGUAGGAUUUUUCCCAUCAAACCUCACAGUACAUGCUUGAACUCUGGUUAGACUCUGUUCAAAAGCGCAGAAUUUUUUUUCUUUUUGGCGACCCUACAUAGUCAAAGAAUAGUAAA
rnacentral:lncRNA from 1 species